rnacentral:rRNA from 1 species
AGCUCAAAUUUGAAAUCUGGCGUAAGCCCGAGUUGUAAUUUGAAGAGGAUGCAUCUGCAACGAGUGCUGGCUCAAGUUUCUUGGAACGGAGCGUCAUAGAGGGUGAGAACCCCGUAGUUAGCUAGAUACUCUGUUGCUUAUGUUGCUCCUUCGAAGAGUCGAGUUGCUUGGGAAUGCAGCUCUAAGUGGGAGGUAAAUUUCUUCUAAGGCUAAAUAUCGGCCGGAGACCGAUAGCGAACAAGUAGAGUGAUCGAAAGAUGAAAAGCACUUUGAAAAGAGGGUUAAAUAGUACGUGAAAUUGUUGAAAGGGAAGCGUUUGCAGUCAGACUUGCUUUCGAUGAACAAGGUUUCUUUGCGAAGCUUUUAUUCAGUUGUGAGCAGGCCAGCAUCGGUUUGAGCGGUAGGAAAAAGGUGUGGAAAAUGUAGCUUGCUUUGCAAGUGUUAUAGUUCCUGCGUCAUACUACCAGUUUGGACUGAGGAUAGCGUCUUUGACUAGGAUGCUGGCGUAAUGGCUGUAAACGACCCGUCUUGAAACACGGACCAAGGAGUCUAACAUCUGCGCGAGUGUUUGGGUGUCAAGCUCGCACGCGUAAUGAAAGUGAACGA